UACGUAGGGUGCAAGCGUUAAUCGGAAUUACUGGGCGUAAAGCGUGCGCAGGCGGUUCUAUAAGACAGAUGUGAAAUCCCCAGGCUCAACCUGGGAACUGCGUCCGAUACUGGAUGGCUUGAAUUCGGGAGAGGGAUGCAGAAUUCCAGGUGUAGCGGUGAAAUGCGUAGAUAUCUGGAGGAAUACCGGUGGCGAAGGCGGCAUCCUGGACCGACAUUGACGCUGAUGAGCGAAAGCUAGGGGAGCAAACGGG
rnacentral:rRNA from 1 species